CCGUUAGUACUGACUCUAUAUUUGCUCACUCUUUUUCUUUCUUUUUUUUUUUAACUUUUUAUUUUUCCUGAAACUGUAUUCACUUUCUCACUGCCGAUUCAGAUGAGAUGAGAAGAGAUGAGAAACAGAGAAAGUGACGCAACAACCUUCACCACGCUACAGUUCGUCGUUCGUCGUUCGUCAUCGUGAUUCGCGUUGGACGUUCACCGUUCGUUGUUUACCGUUCACUAUUCACUGUCGCUGUUUCGCGUUCACCGUUCACUGUUCCUGCAUCGUCCUUUCUCCUCCCUUCGAGUGCGACCCCUAAUUCCACAUCCAGCGACUUUUUCUUCUCUUCCAACCUUGAUAGGUCAAACAUAUACUUGAAACUCUUAUAAUAUAUAUGUUGGUUACUGCCAAGUGCCAAAUGUAUCUACUCAAUUGUUAAAGAGUAAAGACAGAGCACAUGGAAGAAAAAGCAGGGGAGAAGGUGUAAUGUUUAUUAGAGUAGCACCAAAUUUAUAUUUUUCUCUAUUCUUGUCUUUUGUCUUGGGUUAGAUGUUCAAUCACAAAAGUGGCAUAUGUAGAGCCUGGCCCUCUCUCUUGAGUAAAUUUGUGAUUAUGACUAAUCUGAAUUGCUUUGAAGUUUGAAGAGGUGCUUUGAAGCUUGUUCUUCAGUUGAUGGAUGUUAAAGGCCUCACAAUUUCACACGUCAAGAGCCAUCUUUAGAUGUACAGAAGCAUGAGGGGUGACUUGGGAAGGCAAGUAUGAAUUCAACGCCGAAAAGGGGGAGGAUAACAAGGAAGAGUUAUACAAUUUUGUCCUAGCUUGCUACCAUACAUAAGUGGAUCGAUCAUUUUGGAGGGUCGACUACCCAUGCCAUCUUUUGACAAGGCACUGCAUAUUUUACUAUUUUUUACUUUAAUUUUACCAAUCCACAAUGAAUUCAGUAGUUUGCAUAAAUUAAUUAAUCGAAAUCUGUCAAUAACUCAUCAAGAUUGAAUGUCCAUUAAUAUUUGUGUGAUAGAUCUUCAUAAGGCUUUUCAUGCUUAAUUCUUUUAAAGGCUCAAUAAUUGCCACUACAUAUAGAUAGCAGCUUCACUUUUGGUACCUGAACUUGGGAAGCUUGAGCAUUUACAAUAUCUUUUUGCUGUUCUUUCUAAAGUGACUUUAAUUUUUUUCAGUUGAUUUUAAUUUAAUAUAUUUAAUUUACUUGCAUUCUCUUCUUUCUUGGUUUCUUUGUACUGGUGUUUAUGAAUGAAAUUCAUUUUUUGUUGAAGUCCUGUUUAAUACUAAACAUUCUUGGGCAACAUCUUUUAGGAUAAAGUUUAGGAACAUAUGCAUCAAUUCAUGUAAUAACGAAUUAUACUUUAGCUACAUCUGAUGGAGGAGAAGGAGCGGCAGAAAGCCGAAGCAAAGGCUAAGGAGGUUGAGGCAGCUGAGGCUGCAAAAAGAAGUGCUAGAGCUGCAGUUGCUUCAUUGCUUCCUUCCAAGUUGUUUGGGAAUAAGGAUGCUGAUUCAGAGGCUAAAUGAUGCAAAUGCUUCUGAGCCAGAGUUGGUAGAGAGAAUAACUGAAACUGAGGGUUCAGUUAAUAGAGACUAAAAAAGAGGGUAGGAGUCUCAAUUGAAAUCAAGGGGUAGGCAGGAUUCUUAUGAAGAAGAAGCUAUUGAACUUACAGCAGAGAGGGACUAGAUACCAUUGAAGCAAUUGAUUGUGUUUUAGGAUCAUCUUGGAGUUUCCUUUUGGGAACUUGAUUCCAAGUAUACUGUGUUGGUAUGGUGCAAUCAAAUACUUCAAUGUUUCCUUCUGAAUUGAGAGGUGAAAAGAUAUUUGGAGCCAAAUUAUCCGAAGGUGUUUUCGUUGGCUCAUUUCUCUCCAUGUCAUCAAUAGCAGUGAGGACAAGAGUUGCUUGUGAAGUAAUUGUUGAAGUUGGAUACUAUUGAGGUUGAAGGUGAAGCGAAGUUGCGGAGAAAAGUUGAGGAUUAAGUUACAAGUACAAUUGUUAGCUUUAUAUGUUUGGAUUAAGUUAGGAUUUUUUGAAUUUAUAUUUUAUGGAUUAUGACUAUGUAAAACUUGUAGAAUUCAACUUUUGAAAUAUAUUGUUUCUAUUUUUGUAAAACUUGUGAGAUUGAGUUUAAAUUUGUUGAAAUAUAAUGCCAUUUAUUA